GAAUUAUUGUAUAUAUAGAGUUGUAGAAGCUAUUAAGAAGAGAUAUCGUUGGAUUAUGUGUUAGUGAUUUGAACAGUUGGUGAAUGAGUAUACAAUAAGUCAGCAACUACAUUAAAGCAUCAUAACA